UUUUUUGGAGGUGGUAAAUUCGACAAAGUCAUUAUUUGAAGGUGGUAAAAAUGAAAAUUUCCUUUUUCUUUUUCCCCCUGCUUUCCCUCUUCGUUCUGCUCUUCUCUUUCCCUCCCAUUUUCGCAUCUCCUGCUCUUCCUCCCAGCUUUCCCUCUCCGUUUUCGCAUCUCCCUGUGUUUUCGCAUCUCCUUCUGCACUCUAUUGAAGCAGCUCGCUCUUUCUCCAUUGAAUUGGUUACGCGCUUUCUCACUCCAUUGAAGCAGCACCUCCAUUGAACCAGCUCUGGCCUCCAUUGAACUCACUUCGAGUAAUUUUAGGGUUGUGGUAAUAUAGGGUUUGUCAUUGAAGCGCGCACGGCUACAUCUUUACCCUAACGGCCUCCUUGUCACGGCUACACCUCCACCGAUUCUGAGCUUUCUCACCUCCAUUGAACCAGCUUCGAGGAGCAUGAAGUUGCCUCGCCGUCCACAUCAUAUUUUGAGAAAGUUAUCCGGGUAUGAUCCAUGUACCGAAAAGUAUGCUGAAAAAUACUACAAUAGGCCAGACGUGCAGAAUGGGAAGGCUCUCCACGCUAAUACCACUAAAAUUCCGUAUAAGUGGACUGCCUGCAGGAGAAAGUUGUGUUAAUCUGAUGGUAUAAUCAGGAGAAAAUUCAAAUGAAGUUGAUGGUAAUAUUACAUUAUCUGUUUUUUGAUGAGAAGGUUUGGACUUAGUAGAGAGCGGAGAAUGUUAUAGAUAGGCGGACUAGGUUUAGACUAUAUAUGUUCGGAUGUUCUGCAAAGCAUUGUUGUUUUAACGGAGUUUGAUCUGUAUUGAUAAUGUGUUCUCCUUGGCCCUAAACUAAUUUUUAAUCUUAAGAAAAUGCGACAUGAUCUGUUUCUGUGCAUUACAGCAAGUUUUCGAUUUCUUCUAUUACUUUCUUGCCUCAUGGAGAGUUGACAGUUAAUUUUGUGUAUCAAGUAAUCCUCCUGUAGUUACUGUCAUACGGAGUACAUCUUUUCCUUCGCUUGCAUACAGAGAAUUCCCACAUAUAUGAGGCUGAUGAGGAGCAUGGUUAAAAUCUACUAGUAGGAAGCUAAGGAUUAGCUCGACUUCAAAAUUUCUCCCGGUUAAAACCAGGGUGGUGAGACUGGUGACUGGCGAGGUUAUACAACUCCAUUAGCUCAGGGUCCCUGAUAAGUUUAAGGCGGCCCUGAACUUAGAGUGUGACAGCGACCAAUUAACUACAUGCAUUUAUUUUGUAACUAUAUUACUGUAUAUAAUCUUGCUUUUAAUUCUUACAUUACUUGUCCAUGAUUCAUGAUUGUAUAUAUAUUAAUCUAAAACUUGUAUGUACUGUCAUACAAAUCUCAAGUCAAACUUCUCUUUCUUUUAAUUAUUUAAGAUCAUUUGGGGAAGAACAGAAAGAAGAAUGGAGGUUCAUCUUCCUAAUUUUCCAAAAGAUUUUAAUGCGUCAGAUUUUAUCCCUAAUCUUUACUCUGCAAAAACCAUUUUGGGUAUUUUUGCUGCUGCUUCAAUUGCUGUUUUCUGCUUCACAUGGAUUCUCUCAGGUAUUAUUUUUUUUCUACUCGAUUUACUCUGUUUAUAUUCUAGCAUCACGCCUCCUUAGAUAAAAUUUUGGUUCAUAUAGCCGACUAUCAUUGGGAUUAAGGUUCUACUUCUUGUUAUUGAUUUACUCCUUCAAUAUAUAGUAAUUACUUCAAAUGAUUUAAUCUUUGUUGAUGGGUUAUUUGUUUUGUUAUCUAAUAAGGGGAACAAGUGUAAAAAGGAAACAAUCGAAUGUGAAACAUAGUAAAAACUCCGUAACAUAAACGAAUGGAUAUAGUAGUUGUUAUUGUUGAUUGAUCUAACAAGUAACAACAUGUCUGUAAUUCUACAAGGACAAGACUGGAUCCAUUUUCGCCGAAUUAUGUAAUUCUCUUGCUCAUAUCAAUUAAUUCAACUCCUUCAGUUAGUUUAAAGGGUGAUUAUUCUCACUUCACUAUAAUUCGACGACAUUACCUUUUUUUUUCUUUUCGAUUUGCUAAUAUUUUUGAUUUUAUAGGGAAAGAGUACAGCAAGGGUGAUUCCAGAUAUUUGUCUCUUGAUUCAACAACAAUAGCUCUUGAAGCAAUUUCAAUCUUCGUAUUUGGUCCAACCAACCUAUUAGCUGCGUUACCAGCAUUAAGAUUGUUCCACAGGAUGAAAGUUCAGUUAUAGCCGGAUCUGCAGACAAGGUACAGAAAGGAGGACGAGCAAAGAACUUAAUGAAGUUCGAAACAUGUUGGCGUCUUUCUUCACAUUUACUUUAAUUUAAACUUGUUAACUACAUUAAUAAUUAGUAUUGUUUGUACAUAUGACACUUUUUUUUUUUUACAAGGAGUUGUAAAUAUAUGGCACUUCAUUGUAUUGCAUUUGUGA